AGACCAUGAUGUGGACACUUUCGGAGCAGAUCUUUGUAUCUUUCCCAUGCUUCAUAUAACGACUCACUAUCGAAUUGAGUGAAGAUGGUGAUGUCAUUCCUUAGCUU
rfam:Cephalotus follicularis DNA, scaffold: scaffold662, isolate: St1.